rnacentral:lncRNA from 1 species
CGCCCCAAGACUCUUUCUCCUUGAUUUUUGAACGCCCCAAAGGUCUCUCAAUGCUCCGUAUUCCACGAAAAUUUCAUAAAGAAAUUCGUUUUAAAUAGAGAGAUAUGAAGAGUCCUUGUCUAGGUCAAAUACCUAGUCAAGGAUUAUCCAAACAAAGCAAGACAAGGGGCGCCCAACUCUUGGGCGUCCCCUCCUUUUUCUGCCGUGGACCACCAGCAAAGGGCGCAUAUUAUGUGCCAUAAAAGCCACGAAAAUCCCAAAAGGAAAUCUGGGUAAAAUUAGUGCCAUAGGGAAAGAGUUUUGAUUUUCUAAAACUCUAUCUCAUAGAAUUUGAAAUCCAAACUAAUUCCUACUUUGACUUGAUCCACAACCACAUUCCAUGUA